rnacentral:lncRNA from 1 species
GCAAACAGCACAGGGAUUCCUAGUGAUGAGUUUUCUUUUUAUGUUAUAUAUUCAACAGCAUGCUUCAGUGGUACCACUAUGAGUCUUUAGACCUGGGGAAACUACACCUCGGUAAUAACCGGCCUUAUCACCGGGCCGGCAGUCAUUUAAUAUGCUUCUUUGUCUGACACCAAUCAUGAACUGCAGCGUGGGAUGUCAAGGCUUCUGCAAAUGCCAAUCGCACGCCUCACUGUACAUCAGGCCCAGGGUUCAGAUCUUAUGAUAGGAAAUCCA